GCUCCUCUUCGUUUUCUGUCCAAACCCAUAUAUCACUGCUGCACUAGCAGCUAACUUGGUUUUGCAAUGAAGCCAGGGAGAAGUAUAACGAGGUCACGCUGAUCGUCGAAGAGGAGGCGGCGCUGGAUCGCUCAUAACUCACUCAGGACUCCUUCCCUCCCCAGGAGUCGGACUGGAGGCAGUUGCCCGAGAGGAGAGACUUUUACGCAGCCGUCGUCAAGUCACAAAUUCCCAGCACUGCUUGUGUGGAUUUUAAAAUACACAGAAUCAACCUAAACUUGCGUGGGCUGUGAAGAAGAAACAAAAAGAUCGUUGCUUUUCUUUCUUUUUCUUUUUUUAAAGACACGUUUUAAUUCAAUCGGGGUUUCUGCUUUUUGGCUUAUUUCCAGACGUCUCUUUCUACUUUUUAAAGACAAAUAAAUGCACGGAAACUACUGGUGCACGCAAACAGGAAUAUCGGCGAGAUCUGAAGAGUGGCUUAGAAGUCUCUUAUCCUUCCUAGGAGCUGGCUGUCGCUCGCUAGACUUUCCGUUCAUCAACAGAUUGAAAGAAAGCACAGCAAGAGGACUUUUGGAACACAGGGAAGAUGGGUCGGGCUUGGUGGCACAUCUUGUUUCUUGGGGUAGCUGCCUUCUUUUUGCGGGGGGGCUGCCAUGGUUCUUCCUUGCACUCCCUGCGCCAUUUCUACCUGGGGGUGUCUGAACCCAUCCAGGGUCUGCCCUGGUUCACUCUGAUGGGAUACAUGGAUGAGCAGCUCAUCAGCCGCUAUGACAGCAACACAAGAAGGGAUCAAGCUCAAGUCUCCUGGAUGGAGAAGGCGGAGGAUGCCUGGUAUUGGAAGCAGGAGACCCAGCAUGCUCAGGAGGCUGAGGACUUCUUCAAGGUGGCCCUUGCGACCUUGGAGACUCGAUACAAACAGAGUGGAGGGCUGCACACCUGGCAGUGCCUGGUCGGCUGUGAGCUGAGCAAAGACAGGAAGCAGAAAGGAAGGUUUAUGCAGUGCGGCUACGACGGGAGGGACUUCAUCAGCCUGGACAAGGAGACCUUCACCUGGACGGCAGCUGAUGAGCAGGCCCAGAUGACCAAGUGGAAGUGGGAGGCUGACCCAAGCAUUGCCCGACAUUGGAACCCCUACCUUGAGAGCAAGUGCUUUGAGAGAUUGCAGAAAUAUCUGGUCUACAUGAAGGAGACUCUGCUGAGGACAGAGACCCCAACGGUGAAAGUGACACGCAAAGUGGGACUUGAUGGCAUCGAGACCCUCCUCUGUCGAGCGUAUGGCUUCUACCCCAAAGAGAUCGAUGCCACCUGGAAGAAGGAUGGGGAGAUCUGGGAGCAAGAGACCCUCCGUGGAGGUGUCACCCCCAAUUUGGAUGGGACCUUCUACACAUGGCUCAGUACUGAGCUUGACCCCAAGGAAAAGGACCACUACCAGUGCCAUGUGGAACAUGAUGGCCUUCUGGAGCCGCUGGUCUUGGGCUGGGAGGAUCCUGCUUCAGUAUCUAUGGGAGUCAUCUUGGGGGUUGUGGUGGCUGUUGGUCUGCUGGUGGUAGCGGUGAUCAUCUUCUUUAUCAAUAAACGGCAGAGAAUCAGAAGAACUCACGGAGCAACCUACCAAACAGUACCAAAGGAGCAGCAGCGAGGUGCUUACCAAGGAGCACGGAGCACCCAAGAAGCAGCAUCAAGUGUUGGGCUUCAAGAGCAGGAGGAAGGAACCUCUUCAUCCUCCUCACUUGGUCUUGCUGACCAUCCAUCCAACAACUGUGAUGGGGUUCAUCUCCCUGUGAAUAGGGAAGACCUUUACAGGGCCAACCCUUCCAUGGGGCAUGGUGAGGUGGCUGACUCAAGUGGUGCAUGUGGAGAGAUGGCAGGAGGCAUCCCUGCCACUGCCUCACCUGUCCUCAGUCAUUGUCCCCAGAUAGUUCCAUUCCCCUUUUCCUCCAGCAUCGGGUUUCACGAGGAGGAGGAGGAGGAGGAGGAGGAGGAGACGGGGAAAUGCAUUUCUUGGCCAUCCUCCUCUGAUUCCCCCUCAUCACGCCCUCUUCUGCCUUUGCAUUCUGAUGAAGUCAUGGGAGGACAAAGAGCACCAAGGUGCCAAGCCAGGCGACCUGGGAAAUGGCUUUCCUUACAACUGCUCCUGGUAAGGGGGAGACUAUGGAGGGACCCUGCCUCAAUGGACACAGCUGAAUAUUUAUAAGAUUCUUUAAUUGCCCAGUGGAUUAAACCAGUGGCCUACAUACAUGACCAAGAUAGAGCUGGCUUUUCUGAAAUAAAUAGCAAAUUUGGGGGACACUAGACUCAGCAUGGAAGCAGGGGCAUGGAGUUUUGCUCCCUGAUGAAGGAAAAAAGCCAGCAUGGAGGUUCUCGCAUGGAAUAACUCUGAAGAUCCUUGAAAGACAAGAUUGCAGGAAGCUCGAUUCUCAUCAGGAGUUGCUUCAAGGUCUGUCAAAGGACUAGAUUCCUGCCCCCACUGCAAGAUCAUGUUCUGCCUAUCCAGUCAAUCUGCCAAUUCAGCACUGACCUCAGCUGCAGUCCUAUUUCAAGGAGGGGAGGCAUUGCUUACCAGUCUCUCACCAGGUUUCUCCCAAGUCAAGACCAGAGGUUCCAGAAGACCGUCAUGUUCCACGUGGCACCGGUAGCGGUCUGUGUCCUUGGGAUAGAUGUCAAUGCUGAGCCAGUCUUUCAAUGCAGAUCUUCUCCAGGUAGCUUUUCCAUAUCCCCACAAUGGUUGAGUCAGCCUCCCACUUCCUCUUGGUCAGCUGGGCCUGGUCAUCGGCUGCCGUCCAGGUGAAGGUCUCCUUGUCCAGGCUGAUGAAGUCCCUCCCGUCGUAGCCGCACUGCAUGGACCUUCCUUUCUGCUUCCUGUCUUUGCUCAGCUCACAGCCAACCAGGCACUGCCAGGAGGAAGAAAUAUCAAACCUACCCACUUCUCUUGACCCUGGAAGAAAGAAAUGUGGGAGGUGCAAACCCAUGCCUCCUUCUCCUCACUUCACUCACCUCCAGUCUGAUUGUAGCGACUCUUCAGGAUCAGGACAGCCUGCCUGGAAAACUGCUCAGCAUCCCGAGCAUGAUGAGUUUCCUGCUCCCAGAAGGAGCCAUCCUCUGCCUUCUCCACCCAGGGGACUUGAGGCUGAACCCUCCUUGUGCUUCUGUCAUAGUGAGUGAUGAGCAGGUCAUCCAUGUACCCCACCUGAGUGAACCAGAAUGGACCCUGGCUGGGAUCUGACACACCCAAGUAGAAAUGGUAGAGGGAGUGUGAGGAGCAACCUGGAAAGGAAGAGGAAGGGCAGAGUUAGAAAGGUCUGUGGUCCAGUGAACAUCAAACUCCUGUCCUUUGAAAAUCCUGGCACCCUGUAGCAGCCUCUACCCCAGUUUUUUAAAAAAACCUCAAUCCAGGCAGAGUGAGGAAUCCUCAGAUCAACAAAAAGAAGGGGGGAUAAUAAGAGGAGGCAGGAGGCAAUAUGGCCCUGGGAGCUCAGAGGGAUAAAUGAAAGGUGUGGGAAGAAGGCCUUUGGGGGCUGCUGAAGGGAGUGGAGGAAAAAGCGCAGAAUGGCAACAAGUGAGGAGAGUGGAUGGAUAUCUGUAGUCCUCAGAAUUGGGUGGGGAGGAGGGAGAGAUCAGAUGUUUAGAGGAAGGAGGUGUGUAAAGCAGCAGCAGCAGCAGCAAGGUUGUUAAUAGUCCCUUCUUCACCUGCUAAAACCUUCAGGGUUUUAAUCAGGAGCUCCCCAGGGGAAUGGGAUGGAGAAGAGACUGCCAGCAAGAGCAUUCCCAGACACCAGGCUUAAAUGUGGGAGAGGGAUAUCCUAGAGUGAAUCUAUUAGCCAACAAAAGGGGGAAAAAUAGCUGCAGAAGUGGAUUUUUUUUACCCCUGACAUAAUCGGGCUAUGCAUCAUGCCCAAUGAAAGACCUGAAUCAUGUAUGGAGUGUUCCUCGAGAGCUUGCAGUGACUGCAAUGUCAAUCUGGAUGAUAUGUGAAUGUACACCUGCCCUUUCAUGGGGAAGGGAAGUAAAAUCAUCUGGGAAUGGUACAGGGACAGUGAAGGAGCCAGGCGCCCAAAGCCCCUCGGCCAUUUCUGUGAAGUGAUCCCUUCCCCAGAAAAGUUUACACAGCAAACAUACAAGAGAGAUUUGCAAAGGACUCUGUUUUGGACUGCUUUUCGUCUAACAAGGAAAUACACAAUGCACACACACAACAUUCGGCUCAGUCCAAAUCCUGACCUCAAGAAACAGAGAAUACGAGAUAAUGGAUGGGACAUUAGGACAGAAGGAAGGAAGACUGUCUUGCUCUGCAGGAGAUCCCACAGCAAGGGGGUAAGCAAAAGGAGGCAAGUUCUCAGCCCUCAUUGCCUCUAGUUAGAAGAAUAAAGUAACACAGGGGAGGGGAGAGAACCCUGCCUGAGGUUCUGCUCUGCAGAGCCACAGUCAAAUAAAUCAAAAUACACACAAUACUGCAGUUUUCUAGGUUCAAAUUAUAGGAAAUCAUGAAAACUGCUGGAAAUCCAGACAAGACAAUCUCCUGUAAUAAAAAGCAGUAGAAUUUGUUUUUGGAAGCAAGAACUGCAGCUUUCCAGAUUAACCCCUACAACAGUGUUGCAACAUAUCUGUUAAGUGUGCUUCCAUACUUCCUGUGUUGUGAUACCACAGCCUGCUGUCAGCAGGGUGCUGUUCACAUUUCGGAAGCCUUGUUUUGGAUUUUAUCGGUGCGAUUUAGUGCUAUAAGGUCGUAUGUCCAUUGCAAAAAGUAGCUGUAUUUUCCCACUGUAGGGAAAUUUUCCGGGGCACUUUCCAGAUUGCACGCUACCACAGUGUCACAACAUAUCCCUUAAGUGUCCUUCUGUACUGCCCGCGUCAUGACAUCGCAGUCCCUGCACUGUAAACAAGGCGCCCUUCACAUUUCAGGCAUGUCUUCUGUCAGAUUUUAUUGCUGCAUUACAGCCCUAUAACGUUGCUUGUGCAUUGCAAAAAGAAGAAGAAGAAGAAAGCUGUAUUUUCCACAAUGCCUUACAACGGAUUUCAACUGUGGUUUUAAAUGUGGCAGUUUACACCACUUUUUGCGGUGUAAAGCUUGCUAACUGGAAACCACCCCAUUAUAGAUUCUGGGGGUUUGUUUUCAAUUCAAUCCUGCCAAGCCGAGGCAUUUUACCACAGUUGUAGUGGGUAAUCUGGAAAGCAUUCAAAGGAGAGUUCAAAGUCCUGCUACCUACAGCAGAAGCAGGUGUCAGUCUGAGGAAGUUCCCCCACACCACUCCCUUCUCUCUCUCACAGAGCAGUUGAUGCAUAUUCUGACCAGUAGCCAGGAGAAUUUGGCUCCUGAGAAGUACUUACCGGAGCAGCCCCUCAGCAGAAGGACAGUAGCCCCCAAGGGCAAAAGGAGGCACCAAAUCUGCUCCAUCCAUCAGUUCAGAAACAAGGCACUCUCACUAUGCUAUUGCUCUGUCACAAGGAACACCCAUUAAAAGUUCAGAGCGAGAGCUGGGAUUGGUCGAGAGGAAAAUAUUUGACCAAUGGAAGCAUCUAACUGUGUGCAUUGGGAGGGGCCAUGGAAUUUCACCUGAUGGUACAAAGACCAAGUGUAAAGGUGUCUUGUUUCCAUUCAGGCAAAGUUUGAUUAGAUUGUGGGGAGCUUUUCCUUGAGCAAAGCAAACAGGCUGUUGAGGGAAAGAGAAAGCCAUUAUCUCCCACUUGCUGGAGUUUAAGGCAGUUUCAGCUGAUAACAGGAGGAGGUGGUCCUUUGCUGUGAUGAAAGCAGGCAGGAAAAGGGACUGAAUUUGGAUUAGCAGGAAACCAUUAUUCAGCUGCAGCAAAGCAUUCCUCCUCGGUAAGCUCAGAGAGGCAGCCAAAUAUAUCAUGUGCACUGUUAAUAGUGUUACUCUGCAUUAUUUUGCAAGAAUACAGUAUUCCUUG